UCAGUCGACUCCUACGGGGAGGCAGCAGUAAGGAAUAUUGGUCAAUGGAGGGAACUCUGAACCAGCCAUGCCGCGUGCAGGAAGACAGCCCUCUGGGUCGUAAACUGCUUUAUUCGGGAAUAAACCUUUCUACGUGUAGGAAGCUGAAUGUACCGAAGGAAUAAGGAUCGGCUAACUCCGUGCCAGCAGCCGCGGUAAUACGGAGGAUCCAAGCGUUAUCCGGAUUUAUUGGGUUUAAAGGGUGCGUAGGCGGCUUAUUAAGUCAGGGGUGGAAAGACGGUGGCUCAACCAUCGCAGUGCCCUUGAUACUGAUGAGCUUGAAUACACUAGAGGUAGGCGGAAUGUGACAAGUAGCGGUGAAAUGCAUAGAUAUGUCACAGAACACCGAUUGCGAAGGCGGCUUACUAUGGUGUUAUUGACGCUGAGGCACGAAAGCGUGGGGAUCAAACAGGAUUAGAUACCCUGGUAG
rnacentral:rRNA from 1 species